rnacentral:lncRNA from 1 species
GUUGAAUCGACGCUCCCCGAAGUUUCCAGAAGCUAUUGCGGCGCUGUAGGGAGAGAGAGCUAGGAUUAGAAACCCUAGCUGAUGGUGUUAGGUUCUGGGCCUCUGAGAGCUUGGGUCAAUUGGGUCUAGUUUAGGUCUAGGUCUGUAACGGGUAUUGGGUUGUAACCGGGUUUAGGUUUAUUUAAUUUUUGGGCCUACGGGUUAGUGGGCCAUGGUAUUUGGGUCCUGUAAAGGUUUAAAUGGACUGUUUAAAUAAACACUCUAUUUAUUUUAAAGCCCGGUCAAAUUUAGGCUGUUACAGCUGCCCCUCUUUGCUCAUUGCUAUGUAAUAGGAAUCGAGCAAAGACUCAUAGAAAAAACCAAAUUUGACCGGUCUUAUGGUAUUCAACCCUUUUUCAUGACUGCCAUGUUGAUAUCUUCGAUCUGCUCAUUGCUGAACAUAGAGAUGUCGAAUCUGCCUCUUCAAUUUGUAGAGAUGUCGAAUCAACUUGAAUCCGUUUGAGAAUGUUUGAGAGUUAUAUCUACCAGUCCUCGAUUUGUCCCUUGUAAGCACAAGGAUGCCAAACCAUCUUGAGUUUGUUUGAGAACAUUUGAGAGUCAUAUCUGCAAUGUCCUAGAUUUGUUCAUUGUAAGCACAAGGAUGCCAAACCAUCUUGAGUCUGUUUGAGAACAUUUGAGAGUCAUAUCUGCAAUGUCCUUGAUUUGUUCCUUGUAAACAAAAGAAUACCAAAUCAUCUUGGAUCUGCUUCAGUAUAAACAUCUGAAGGUUAGAUCUGCCAUAUUUGAGAACGUCUGAGAGCAAAAUCUGCUAUGUCUUCGAUUUGUUUCUUGUAAACACAAGAAUACCAAACCAUCUUGGAUCUGCUUCAGUAUAAACAUCUGAAGGUUAGAUCUGUUAUAUUUGAGAACGUCUGAGAGUCAAAUCUGCUAUGUCCUCGAUUUGUUCCUUGUAAACACAAGAAUACCAAAUCAUCUUGGAUCUGCUUCAGUAUAAACAUCUGAAGGUUAGAUCUGCUAUAUUUGAGAACGUCUGAGAGUCAAAUCUGCUAUGUCCUCAAUUUGUUUCUUGUAAACACAAGAAUACCAAAUCAUCUUGGAUCUGCUUCAGCAUAAAUGUCUGAAGUCUAGAUCUGCUGUCUUCAAUUUGUUUCCCAUAAGCACAGGGAUGCCAUGUUGAAAUCUUUGAUCUUCAUUGUCCCCUAGAGGACAUGACCUGUAAGAUGAGUAUGUGCCUAUGCCUAAGUAUGCUAUGAUUGAAAUGAGUCGAAUGUCCUUAACAUGUUAUGAUGCAAAGUGCUGUGAAUAUGACCCCUAUCUCAGGUGUCAUCAUUCAUUCCUUCAUUUGUCUUUCUCAAAAUUUUAUUCUUACUCAACUUGUAGGCCUUCCUCCAAUGCUAUGAUCUAUUGAGGAUGUCUGUAAGAAUUGAAUCAUCCAUUUCUUUUUGGACUGGAAGAAAGAAAUCCCCUGAGUUCCUUCAUCCUUUACUUACGUGAAUUUCUCGAACAAUUGACCUGUUUUAGUUUCUUGUAUUAUCCAGAAAUUCCAAAGUAAUGUGCAAAACUUCGUUUGUGAAAAUAUUUUAGUUCAUCUAUCAUUAUUUCAAUGCAACAUACUUUAAAAAUAUCGGGAGAUGAGUAAAUCUUUGAGAAUAAUUGGAUUCGAAUUGUUAACAGUACAAAGGAAAUAAGUCUGAUAGCAUAUCUUUAAGAAGAAAUAGAAUCUAAAGAUACCAAACAGGAUAAAAAUUAGAUACUCUAAAUAUCGCCGCUUGAGCGUCUAUACAUUAGUUCCCCGAAGCCUUUCUUGAGUUCGACAUGUGUUUAAAAGAUCCAAAGUACUUUGUUGAUGCCCCAAUGUACAUUGUGCCUCACUCUCUGUCGAGUCAAAUAUAGCAAGGUUAUUGUGUGCCCUUCAAAAUUUGAGCUGCCCUUUCGGGUUUUCAACUCAAAAUCCCUUUGAUCACAAGGUGCCCUUUGUGGGUUUUCACCUUGGCCUCUCCAUUUUAUUUUAUUUUAUUUUGUUUUUUUUUCAAAAUUCAAGGCGCCUUUUGCGGGUUUUCACCUUGGAUUCUUUUCUCCUUUAGACAAAGUACUUUUUGACUGAGUCUGAGUUUACUGGAUUGGGUAGGCUCUUUCCAUCCAUUUCUGUCAAAAUCAACACACCACCAGAAAAAGCCUUCUUCAAGACGUAUGGCCCCUCCCAAUUCGGCAAUCAUUUUCCUCUAAAGUCCUUCUGAAUGGGAAGGAUUUUCUUUAGCACAAGGUCCCCCUCAUGGAAUUCCCUUGGACGAAUCUUUUUAUCAUAAGCUCGCAUCAUACGCUUCUGGUACAUCUGACCAUGUCGGAUAGCCUUCAGCCUGUUUUCCUCAAUCAAGUUUAGCUGGUCAUAUCGAGACUGAACCCAUUCAGCUUCAUCUAACCUUAUCUCUAUUAAAAUUCGGAGAGAAGGGAGUUGCCCCAGUAGAAGUUCUAACAGAUGUUCGAUAGGCCAAGAGUGCAAACGGUAGCUUUUCAUGCCAAUCCCUAUAAGUCUCAAUCAUCUUUCCCACUAUUUUCUUAAUGUUCUUAUUGGCAGCCUCCACUGCCCCAUUCAUCUUUGGACGAUAGGGUGAAGAGUUGUGAUGCUUGAUUUUGAACUGGUCGCAAAUCUCUGCUAUCGUUUUGUUGUUCAAAUUCAAUGCAUUGUCGGAUAUGAUCCUCUCAGGCAUUCCAUACUGACAAAUGAUUUCCUUCUUCAAAAAUCGACUUACAGCUGACUUAGUAACAUUCGCGUAAGAAGCAGCCUCUACCCAUUUUGUAAAGUAGUCAAUCACUACGAAAAUAAACCGAUGUCCAUUCGAAGCUUUCGACGAUAUUGGUCCGAUGACAUCCAUGCCCCACAUGGAAAAUGGCCAUGGAGACAUCAUGACAUGUAAAGGUGAGGGUGGAACAUGAACUUUGUCCCCACAAAUCUGACAGUUAUGGCAUUUUUUGGCAUAGUUGAUACAGUUUCCUUCCAUAGUGGCCCAGUAAUAGCCAAACCUCAUGAUUUGUCUUGCCAUCGUGAACCUAUUUGCAUGCGUACCACAUACACCUUCAUGAACCUCUUCUAAAAUUAGCUUGGCUUCCAUAGUAUCGACACAUCUCAAAAGUACUUGGUCUUUCCUUCUCUUGUACCGAACAUCCCCGUCCAAAACAUAGUCACAAGCUAACCUUCUCAGGGUUCGUUUGUCAUUUUCGGAUGCCUGUGCUGGAUAUUUACGAUCUCUUACAUAUCGCAAUGUAUCCUGAUACCAAGGAUUGUCAUGCUUUUCUUCCUCUUCAAGGUUACAACAGCUAGCUGGAAAUUCAUAGACACUCAUUUGAAUUGGUCUCAUCUCUUCCUUUUUGUUUGCCUUAAUCAUUGAAGCCAAGGUUGCUAAAGCAUCUGCCAUCUGAUUCUCAUCUCGUGGGAGAUAGUUGAAGGUGAUGUCAUCGAACUCUCUUAGUAACCCCAAAACUACCAUUCGAUAAUUGAUCAAUUUAUGGUCUCUUGUCUCUCAUUCACCUCUUACUUGAUAGAUUACCAACGCAGAAUCUCCAUAUAUUUCUAGGGUCUUUAUGCCUCUUUCUAUGGCUGCUUGGAGCCCUAUGAUGCAUGCUUCGUAUUCAGCCAUAUUAUUUGUACAGUCAAAAUCCAACUUGCAUGUGAAUGGGUAAUGGUCGCCAUUCGGGGAUACCAAGACUGCCCCAAUUCCAUUUCCUACUGCAUUAGAAGCCCCUUCAAAAUUUAGCUUCCAUGGAGAAUCUUCAGUUGCUACUAUACACAUUAACUCCUCAUUUGGAAAAUCAAAAUUCAAUGGCUCGUAAUCCUCCAAAGCUCUACUGGCCAAGAAGUCUGCCACCGCACUUCCUUUGAUAGCCUUCUGACUUACAUAGACUAUAUCGAACUCUGAAAGCAAAAUUUGCCAUCUCGCCAUUCUUCCAUUUAGAGCCGUUGAUUCCAUCAUGUAUUUUAAUGGAUCUAGUUUUGAGAUGAGCCAAGUAGUAUGGUAUAGCAUGUACUGUCUUAAUCUCCGUGUGGUCCAAAUCAACGCACAGCAUAAUUUUUUGAUUGGCGAAUAUCUCAUUUCACAGUCAGUGAAUUUCUUACUGAGAUAAUAAAUUACCUUUUCCCUUUUCCUUGACUCGUCAUGCUGACCAAGCACACAUCCCAUAGAAUUGCUGAACACUGACAAGUAUAGUAUUAACGGUUUAUCUGGACUAGGCGGAGAUAACACUGGAGCAUUCAACAAAUAUUCCUUGACUUUCUCAAAAGCAUUCUGGCAUUCUUCAUCCCAAGUACCUUGAUUGUGCUUUCUGAGAAGACGAAAGAUAGGAUCACAUUUCUCAGUCAAUUGUGAAACGAAAGAUAGGAUCACAUUUCUCAGGCAACUCCCGUAUGGCUCUGACCUUGUCUGAGUCAACUUCAAUUCCCUUUUCACUGACUACGAAGCCUAAUAACUUCCCCGAUCUGGCUCCAAAGGUGCACUUUGCUGGAUUGAGCUUCAACUGAAAUUUUCUCAACCUUAAGUACAAUCUUCUCAAGACCUCAAUGUGUUCUUUUUCUGUUCGCGACUUGGCAAUCAUAUCAUCAACGUAUACCUCAAUAUCCUUAUGCAUCAUGUCGUGAAACAAGUUUACCAUGGCUUGUUGGUAUGUUGCCCCUGCGUUCUUCAACCCAAACGACAUUACUUUAUAACAAAAGGUGCCUCACAAUGUUAUGAAAGUAGUUUUAUCCAUAUCCUCUGGAUGCAUCUUUAUCUGAUUGUAUCCUGAGAAGCCGUCCAUGAAGGAGAACAACGAGUAUCCCGCUGUGUUGUCUACUAAAGUGUCGAUGUGUGGUAGAGGAAAAUUAUCCUUUGGGCUUGCUUUGUUUAGAUCUCUGUAAUCAACGCACAUUCGUACCUUCCCGUCUUUCUUAGGGACAGGUACAAUAUUAGCUACCCAUUCAGAGUACUUCACUUUCUGCAAAAAUCCUGCAUCAAACUGCUUCUUGACUUCAUCUUUUAUUUUCAGGACAAUGUCUGGCCUCAUCCUUCGCAACUUCUGUUGGACCGGUUUACAUUCUUAUCUUAUCGAAAGACGAUGUACUACAAUGUCAGUACUCAAUCCGGGCAUAUCCUGAUAAGACCAUGCAAAGAUAUCCUUGAAUUCCUGAAGCAACUCAAUUAAGCUACGCCUUGUGUCAUUAGCGAUCAGUGUUCCAAUUUUCACCUCCUUCCCUUCCUCUAGGGCUAUAUUCUCUAUUGCCUCUUUUUCAUGUGGCAUGAUUUGUUUCUCCUCCUGUUUUACCAUUCUUAAUAGAUCUAGAGAUACGUCACAAUCUUCAAAAUCCUGAGGCUCCUCUAAACACAUGUCUUGCUCACAAGAGAAAUCAGGAGCAGCAGUAUUAGCGCUCAUAUCAUUGAUAUCUAGAGACCUGUGAGGGGUAUGAAAGAAUAUACAAAGAAUGAAUGAAUUUAAGAAUGAUCGUUUAUGCGCUAUAAAUAAAAGAAUAAGAGUUGUUAGAAUUUAAAGGAAUAUUGGUUGAUAAAAAUGAAGCAAUACUCUUUUAAAUUGAUAAAAAUUAUGUUUUAUUUGAAUAAUAACAGAUGAACAUAAGCCUAUUUUCACAAACAUAAUCUUACUACUCCUAGGCCCUAGAGUAAUAAACAUGUUUCGAGAAUUACUCUGAAAAAUUUCUAAAGACUACAGGAAGAUCCUCCGCAGUCCAAUUAUUUAGAGAGCUCCCCGGUUCGUAAGGGCGAAUACCCUCAAAGUUUUCCUGUCCAAACCAAUCACUAUGUACAACAUUGAUUUGAUGACUCUCUUCUACCAGCAACCCUCCUGACUUAAAGGUUGUGGAUAUAGGUGGGAAUGUCAUCAGUUCCCACGCUACUUCUCAUCCGUUCAAACGCGACUUCCUUCUUGCUUGACGCUUUUCCAUCUCCUGUCUCUUUUGUUUAUGGUCUGGCUUAAAACCCAAACCAAAGCGAUCCUUCUUCUCUAUCAAUUUUGGGACUUGAAUCCCUCUUUGCAACUGUUUUCCUAGUCCUUUUUCCUGGCAAUGCUCCUUUCCCCAUCAUUAUUUGCAGGGCCAUCCUUGUUGCUCUAGACAUUUUGGGAACCGGCACCUCGCUUCCCUCCGAAAUGAAGGUAGCAUUAACAAUUUCGAAGGAACAAAAAGAACACUCGAUAGCCUCCUCAUUUGUCUCCACAUAAGGAGGUUUACUAGUGACGGCUACUAUGAUGUCCUCCUCUGGAUUGAUGGUUAUCAAGCGUCCAUCUGUCACCAACUUCAAUUUUUGGUGCAGUGAAGAAGGCACCACUCCUGCCGAGUGUAUCCAUGGCCUCCCCAACAAACAAUUAUAGGAGGGCUUGAUAUCCAUUACCAGGAAGUCAACUUCAUACGUAUUUGGUCCAAUCUCCAGAGGGAUGUCAAUUCGUCCUAUUACUUUCCUUUCAGUUCCGUCAAAGGCUCUUACCACAUUAUGACAUGUCUUCAUGUGUGAACUGUCGAUGGGUAAUCUGUUCAAUGUAGAUAAUGGAAGGACGUUCAAAGCGGACCCAUUAUCAACGAGUACACUUGGAAGCGUGUAUCCUUUGCAACGAGUGGUGAUGUACAAGCUUUAGUUGACCCUAUGCCUCCAGGUGGAAUUUCAUCAUCAUUGAAGUAGAUGAAAUUAUCAGCACAGAUGUUAUUUAUCAACCGGUCCAACUUAUUGGCAGAUAUAUCAUGAGUGACAUAUGUCUCGUUGAGUACCUUCAACAAUGCUUCUUGAUGCACUUCAGAGCUUAGCAGUAAGGUUAAAAUCGAUAUGCGUGCUGGUUGUUUACGCAACUGCUCGACCACACUAUACUCACUAUGCUUAAGGAACUUUAGAAAUUCCUUAGCUUCCUCCUCCCUCACUGGCUCGUUAACAGGUACUUCACUCUUUUUCUCAAUUUUAACAUUCUUGGGUUUUGUGGGCUCCACUCUGACUUCCCCCAUAUCAUAACGCUUCCUGCUCCGCUUAUGGGAACCUUCAUCUCGUACAUCUUUAGAUGCGCUGGCUAUGUUUCCUUCUCUCGGUACCGUCACGCUACAGUCAUAACUCCAUGGUACUUUCUUGCUAUCCUUGUAAGGGAAAAGAGUAGGUGUAUGGAUAACAACCUUGGGCACUGCUGGUGUCCCCAUUUCAUUAUUCCCUGGCAGGGAGAUAAUGGUCCUUGGUCUACUGGUUCUUUGCUGUUCAUUUUCCAGCACACAUACUUGCUUUUCACUAGAGCUACCUUCAUAAACCUGUAGCUCUUUGUUGUCUAUGAAGCCUUGCACCAAGGCCUUGAAUUCCUCGCAAUCUUCACGGAACUCACCGUAGUCCCACGUUCUUUCUUUCAUUUUUUUAGAGGUCAACAUACCUCUCUUCAUCAUCUUCUCCCAGAUUACCCUCAUAGGCAUCCUUAUCUCAUCAACAUUUUUCUUUUCCCUUUUUUUACCGACUUCACCAAUGGCAUUUACUCUCUGAUUGUUAUGGUUCGGCAAAGGAUUCUCAAUAUUUGAGGUACUCUCAAAUUUUAAAACCCCAUUCUUGAUCAACCUCUCUACGGCUUUCUUGAAUCCAGUACAAUUCUCGAUUGAGUGCCCCGAUAUUCCAGCAUGAUACUCACAUCUGGCAUUUGCAUCAUACCAUUUAGGAUACGGAGGUUGUAAUGGUUUUAAAUGGAAAGGGGCUAUAGCAUGUGUAUCAUAUAGAUUUUGAUAGAGCUCCCUAUACGUCACAGGUAUAGGCGUAAAUUGUAUCCUCUCAUGCCUAAUGUUGGAUUCCUACUUUUGUUGACCAACUGUGGCUACUUUGGGCUGGCUAACUGUGACUGCUUUUGAAUUAAAAUCACUUGUAUUGUUUACCUCAUUGUCUUUUCUUCUUGGGGCUGAUCUUUUGGCUACUUCCCCCUCAAUUCUUCCUCCUCUUAUGGCAUUCUCUAUCAUCUUUCCUGCCAUAACUAUGUCCGCAAAACUUUUAGUAAUGCUUCCAAUCAUAUGAGUAAUAAAUGGGGCUUUCAGAGUAUUAAUAAAUAGCAUAGUGCCCUCCUUCUCUAACAGUGGUGGUUGAACCUGCAUCACUACCUCUCUCCACCUCUGUGCAUAUUGCCUAAAAUUCUCAUUAGGCUUCUUCUCCAUGUUUUGUAGGGUAAUCCUGUCAGGGGUCAUGUCUGUUACAUGAUUGUACUGUUGCAUGAAGGCUUGUGCAAGAUCCCUCCAUGAACUUAUUCUAGCCCGGCUCAACUGAUUGUACCAUCUAGCUGCCGCUCCUAUCAAACUAUCUUGAAAACAAUGGAUCAACAGCUGAUCAUUGUUUACAUACCCCGUCAUCCUUCUGCAAAACAUUGUGAUAUGGGCCUCUGGGCAAGUAGUGCCAUUGUACUUUUCAAAUUCUGGCAUUUUGAAUUUGUGAGGUAACACUAGGUUUGGACCAGACUUAAGUCUUUGGCAUCAAUCCCAUGAUUAUUGCCAGUGCCUUCCAAAGCCUUGAACUUUUCUUCUAACUAUCUGUAGCAUUCAUCCAAUUGCCUUGCAGCUUCGGCCUUCAAAUCCUCUUUUUCCACCAUAUCUAGAUCGGGAACAAGAGGAUUAGUAAGAUUGUCACCCAUAUUAAGCCCUGAACCAACCAGUAAAUUCACAUGGACACCAGCAUCAAUUGGCCCAUGCUAAGGCCUCACAGUAGUCGAUGGCCUUCUAAGAGGUGCCUCAGUUUGCAAUGAUACAUGCGGCGGUGUAAAACCUGGAGGAGGACCCUCAUUUUCCUCUUCAGUGAUGGCCAUAGGAGCAUUUCCUUUAUCAGUGGCCCUCAGUAACUGAGCCAUUUCGGCCAUUAUAUUCCUCUGAGCUUCCAUUAUUUGCUCCCUCAUCUCAUUCUGCAUUUUAGCCAACUGGUCUUGCAUAUCCUUUUGCAACUGCUCAAACCUUUGAUCCAUGUUCUUAGUUUUAGUGCGAGUGCCGUAAGGAUGUGUGAUUUCUAGUUUUUCUUUUCUACCUUUAUAAAGAAACUUUAACUAAUUAGGGUCUUUCUAUAACCUUGAAUGCAUAUGAUAAGAUGUAAUGCAAAUGUAUGAAUGCAACAAAGGCAUCAAUCUCGAUUCAAUCUCAUUUAGAAAACUUUAUUUAGAAAAAGAAUAUCUUUACAUAUAAAUGGAUUACAAGUACGCUUUCGCCCUAAUGCCCAAAGUUUUAACUCUAUCUAAUAAAAGGGCUAACUCUCUUCCUAUGUCUGAUGACGACCCACACAUCAUACUCAAUACAUCGGCUCGUACUGCCAAGUCUUGCACAUAUUCAGCGACCUCUCGAAUCUGAGCUAUGGCUUCUCCCAUGACAUGAUCCCUUUCUCUAAUCUGCCCACUAGACUAAUGAAGCUCUCCCUUUAGAUAAUCUCCUUGCGUUUCGAGUUGCUCGAUCUGAAGUUUACCUUCCUGCAAUGCUGCUUCCAAAUCUUCAACUUUACUCUUUAGCUCUUUUAACUCGACCGUAGAAUCAUGGUUGCGAUGCCAACGAAGGGAUCUUCCAAGCUCAGUUAUUUUAAACUUCAACCCUUUAUUCUCUUCUUCUAAUGCCAAAUUCCGCGGUUGCAUCUCCUAAAACUUCUUCUCCCAAUACUCAGCUCUAGCCUUUCCUUCUUAGAUCUCUUUCUGCAACUGAUCUGAAGACCUUCCUAUUUUCGCUCUUCUCAAAGAUACCUGUGCCUUUUUGUAGUGUUCCUUCAAAUCAUCUCUAUCCUCUUCAAUUUUCCUCUUUUCCUUUCUUUCUUUCUCGACCUCCAUCUUCUGGACAUCGAUAUCUAAACUUAAGUACAUCUUUUCUUCUUCGAGCUUUGCUAUCCUUUUCUCAAGCUCCAAAUUUUUCCUCUCAAAUUCUUGCUUCAUAAUUUCUAACUCCGAGGGCAUCACUUGCAGAUAUUCCUCCAUCGGUCGAGUUCCUUCCAUACUUGGCUCAGGAAUAUUAUCAUUGAUCCUUCUACCUCUCCAUUCAACAUAUUCUGGAGUCGUAGCAGGGCCAAUAGCUACUCCUUUCAACCGACACGUCUUGUUCCAACUGCUAGAGAUCUCACCGACCCUUUUUUUUGUAAUCGGCUCCUCUAUAUGCGAACUCACUUUGAGUUAGCCCAUGAGUUGCUGGCACGAACUGCCUCAAACCGAAUUGCCUUAACACGAGCAAGGGGGCAUAACCAAUGGCACCCCAAAUUCCCAAUAAAGGGACCCAAUCGAAACUGCCGCAACGGUAAAGAAUCUCACCAGGAAUCAUCCACGGAGCUCUCUACUCAACAUCUUUCGACUGAAGAUUUUGAAGUAGUGCAAUCCAAUUCUCCUCUAGAACAUCAACUCUCCUAAUUGAAGCUACUAUGUCCUUCAGCGGUGAGUAAUCCUCGAAGAAAACCCGACAAACGACCUUAUCUAUCAACCGAAAAUGACUAUAGAACCAAGCUAGAAGCAAUUGUGCACAGCCAACAAACCUGCCUGCACCAGCUUUCCAACAUGUGCCUAAGGACCUGAAUGUCUCUGCCAAAAUUGCAGGGACAGAGGUGACCCUCUUACUGAGUUUAUGGAAAAGAUCCGUGGUUGCCUCAUCCACAUAUCCCAAAACUCUAGGGAACACCAUCAAUCCGUACAAACUUAAGGUAAAAACAUCUACCCUCUUUGCUUCAUCAGGGUGUGUCAAGAUCAGACCCUUCAAAGCAUCCCAUGAAAUGCACUUGCACUCGCCCUUCUCUUUACUUCUGGCAGUAAUCCAUUGCUCACUCAUCCCUGUAAUAGUCAUCAAUUUCUUCCAAAAGGUAGGGACAUUAACAGCUCGAGAAUAGAUUCUAUCAACCUGGAACCUAAGACAACGUAACAAGGCAGUGUAUUCCUCUACGGUGGGCACCAAGUCUACCUCCCCAAAAGUAAAGCAACUGUACGCUGGAUUCCAAAACUGAGCGAGGGCUCGGAACAAGUGCUCAUCUAUUUGAACAUUGAGCAAGUAAGGUAAAUCUCUGUAAUUACCAUAGAAUAACUGUUUAGUCUCGUUGCCCUAUUGAUCCCAAAUCUCCUUAAGCUCUUGGAAAUUAUUCUGCGUGACACUCAUGCGAGUAUAUCCUGAUAGCUCCGACAUAUAUCCCGCAGCUAUACUAUCUCCCUUUUCUAAUUGAGUUUGCUCAGACCAUCUAUGGACGUUGGCGUUGCCCUCCACUCUAUCAAGAAGUCCGUUCUCCAUAAUAAAACUCUCUAACUUAGAAACUGACCGUGAAUCGAUACCUUUGUAAAUGCAAAAUGUCAUGCAAACAAAAGAAAAGAAAUAGUCAGUAUCCCAUGAUAUCAAUAAAUCUCAACAAUAGUUUAUAAGGGUAAUAUCUAAAGUUUAACUCUAACUAAGUUGGGCUCUUACGGUUUUUUCUAUAUGAGGUUGGUUCUAAAGUUUGAGGUACCUGAACCAGCAGAUUCCUCGAUCCUCACCCAUUAUAGGCUCAUUUGAAUCGAGUUCAGUUCAGGGGGAUACAUUUCCCUAUGGCUACACAGAGAUGAAAAUCUCACGAAACCAUAGGUACGGAUGUAUCCCAAAAGUGAUCCACUAUCCUGCACGGAGGCAAAAACCUCACGAAGGCAUAGCUUCUCACUCCCACUUAAGGGUGUGACCACAACGGUCAUGCAAAUGCAAUGCGUAUUAGAAUAUAGCAACACAUGCAAUAAUGCAAACGCAUGUAAUGCAAAGAGGAUUAAAUCUUAAAUUUUUUUAAAUUUCCAACAUUAAGACAAGAGAUAAUCAAUUACACGGCUUGACUCUCUUAAACGUCCCCAGUGGAGUCGCCAAGCUGUCGAAACCUUUUUUAAAUCGAGUUUUGGAAAAUGGGAAUUGACUUUAAAAAUGAAAACAGGAGUCGCCACCAAUCUUUUUAGGUGUGAUUGGAUCACCUUUAAAACAUUUGUUUUAAAAUUGUUGGUUUUGGUCUACGAAAUCAAAAGAAUGGGUUUAGGAGCCGGUUACGUACGAGGAAGGGUUAGCACCCUCGUAACGCGCAAAAAUUGGUACCUAAUUGAUUAUCAAAAUGUCUCUAAUGUCGGAAAUUAAAAAUUUUAAGAUGUAAUCCUCUUUAAAGUAUUUGAAAACCUGGGUUUACUUGUAUCAAAGUAUUGUCUAUAAGUUAGCCUUUUAGAAAUCCCUAUCUCAAAACAGCAAAAUAAAAUACUACAUCCAGUAAGUUAGGACAUAUCACUUUGCAAUUCCAAGACAGUCACUUAUAUUUUUAAAUCCUUUAAAAACCUUAGAAGGGUACUUGACUAUCCGAACUUAACGAGAAAAGUUGCAACCCAAUAAGUUAGGGCACUACUUUUUCGAAAUUUCCAAACUUCAAGCAUUGCCUUUAUAUUUUUUUUGAAAAUUUUGGAGCCUUGUCUUUUUAAAGAUUAUGUGUGGAGAAUUGUACUACAUUAUAAAUCAUAAUAAUAUAUAUGUAUAACAUGUAUUUAAAAUGAAUAAACAAAAUAUAUAAACAUACGAAAUAAUAUUUAAAUGAUGCAUGAUAUAUAAAAAAAACAUAAUCAAAUAAUGUGUGGUAUACAAAUAGAAGAAAUAUAGUGCCAAUUUGCAUAUAAUUAUAAUAAAAAUAAACUUAACACAUACAUGAUACAUACAAUAUAAAACAUAUAGAAGAACUAAUAUAAAAAAAAGUAAUUGAUUGCUAACAAAAUAUACAUACAAUUAAAAACAAGACAUUUCAUAACCAUUUUAAAAUAGUAUUUAAUAGAUAAUAUAAUAACAAGAAUAAAAGAAUAGUAAUUAUAUGAUAAUAUAUUGGUUUAGGAGUAUGUAAGAGAUUUCAUAAUAUAACAAUAUUAGUUUAAAAUGAAAUAAUAUAUAGUAAAUAAAUAAUUAAUUAAUAAAAAUAUGUAUAUAGUGUGGGUUAAAAAAUAUGAUUUAAUAAUAAUAAUUUACAUUUUUAAAAUAAUAUAUAUAAUGUAAUCAUAAAUAAUAUAAUUGGCGAUACAUGAUAUACAUAACAUAUAUAUAAAAAAACAAUAAAUAAAAAAAUAUUAUAUAAUAAAAUGUAAUAUAAAUAUAUAUGAAAUAUAAUAGAUAUAAUAUAAAAUAACAUGUAAAACAAUAUAUAUAUAAAUAAUUAAUAAAUAUAUAAUAUAUGUGAAAAUAUAAUAUUAAUUUGAGGAAAAUAAUAUAUAAUAGUAAUAUAUAUAAAAAUAACACUUUUAAUAAUUUUAAUGUAUAAAAGUAAAAUUAAAAUAAAUCAAAUAUUAAUAUAAAAAUAUAUAGAAAUAAAAAAAUUAGGACUAAAUUUAAAGUUUUGUAAAAUUACGGGGCAAAUUUAAAAAGCUAAAACUGAAUUAAGGCCCGAUUUGAAACACCCAAAACGUCACCGUUUCCCCUAAUACGAUUCUAAAUCAUUGGGAGGGUCGAAUUAAAAUAGAAUUAAAAUAUUAAUACCAAAUUAAAAAAUAAAUAAAAUGAAAUUAAAAGUAUAAAUAUUGCGAGAGGACCAAUUGGGUAAUUAACCCAAUUCUCAAAAAUACGCGGAUCCUCCCCGGGUAAUCAGGUCAACGCGCGGAUCCUAUAGUUGUAAAACGACACCGUUUUAAAUAGACUAUAUAAGUCAAACUUCGCCCCUAAAAAUCAUUUUAACAUCCGUUUUUAAGAAAAAAAAAAGAAAAAUCUCUGGAAAAGGAUUCGGGGGCCGAUCCCGGAGCUGCUGAGCCUCCGUCCAGGGGUCUCCUCACGCGCUCACGUGCCGUCCUGUACGGUGGUCUGAGGGUUAAAGUCCUUGUCCUUCCACAGGAAAUCUCUUCCCCUUUUUAAAAGUUACUAUUUUUUUUGCUAAAAUGAUGUACAUACAUUCAUAUGUUCUAAAAUAAUAAAAAAAACACAGUUAAAUCACCUUUUCUUUGAAACUGCUUGUAUUCUUUUUUUAUUUCUGUAUCCGUAAUUGUUACAAGGGUUACAAAGGCUUUUUAUAGCCUACUGAUUUGUUACAUAAGGAAAGAAAUCUCUGAUUUCUUGUCUAUUGUAUCUUUGGCCAUUAUCUGCUAAGUUUCUUUUUCGUUUUGCAGGUACCCCGACAAUCUCUGCGUUAACAGUGGUACCAAAACCAGAAGGGAGACCUGAGAUCACGGUGCUGGACCGUCGCAAGGGGGACGAACGCAUUGAUGGCGCGUCAAUGCAUUGAUGGCCACGAUCUGGAGAGUUGAAUCGACGCUCCCCGAAGUUUCCAGAAGCUGUUGCGGCGCUGUAGGGAGAGAGAGCUAGGAUUAGAAACCCUAGCUGAUGGUGUUAGGUUCUGGGCCUCUAAGAGCUUGGGUCAAUUGGGUCUAGUUUAGGUCUAGGUCUGUAACGGGUAUUGGGUUGUAACCGGGUUUAGGUUUAUUUAAUUUUUGGGCUUACGGGUUAGUGGGCCAUGGUAUUUGGGUCCUGUAAAGGUUUAAAUGGACUAUUUAAAUAAACACUCUAUUUAUUUUAAAGCUCGGUCAAAUUUAGGCUGUUACAGCUGCCCCUCUUUUCUCAUUGCUAUGUAAUAGGAAUCGAUCAAAGACUCAUAGAAAAAACCAAAUUUGACCGGCCUUAUGGUAUUCAACCCUUUUUCAUGACUACCAUGUUGAUAUCUUCGAUCUGCUAAUUGUCGAACAUAGAGAUAUCGAAUCUGGCUCUUCAAUUUGUAGGGAUGCCGAAUCAACUUGAAUCCGUUUGAGAAUGUUUGAGAGUUAUAUCUACCAGUCCUCGAUUUGUCCCUUGUAAGCACAAGGAUGCCAAACCAUCUUGAGUUUUUUUGAGAACAUUUGAGAGUCAUAUCUGCAAUGUCCUAGAUUUGUUCCUUGUAAGCACAAGGAUGCCAAACCAUCUUGAGUCUGUUUGAGAAAAUUUGAGAGUCAUAUUUGCAAUGUCCUCGAUUUGUUCCAUGUAAACACAAGAAUACCAAAUCAUCUUGGAUCUACUUCAGUAUAAACAUCUAAAGGUUAAAUCUGCCAUAUUAGAGAACAUCUGAGAGCCAAAUCUGCUAUGUCUUUGAUUUGUUUCUUGUAAAUACAAGAAUACCAAAUCAUCUUGGAUCUGCUUGAGUAUAAACAUCUCAAGGUUAGAUCUGUUAUAUUUGAGAACAUCUAAGAGUCAAAUCUGCUAUGUCCUCGAUUUGUUCCUUGUAAACACAAGAAUACCAAAUUAUCUUGGAUCUGCUUCAGUAGAAACAUCUGAAGGUUAGAUCUGCUAUAUUUGAGGACGUCUGAAAGUCAAAUCUGCUAUGUCCUCAAUUUGUUUCUUGUAAACACAAGAAUACCAAAUCAUCUUAGAUCUGCUUCAGCAUAAAUGUCUGAAGUCUAGAUCUGCUGUCUUCAAAUUGUUUCCCAUAAGCACAGGGAUGCCAUGUUGAAAUCUUUGAUCUUCAUUGUCCCCUGGAGGACAUGACCUGUAAGAUGAGUAUGUGCCUAUGCCUAAGUAUGCUAUGAUUGAAAUGAGUCGAAUGUCCUUAACAUGUUAUGAUGCAAAGUGCUGUGAAUAUGACCCUUAUCUCAGGUGUCAUCAUUCAUUCCUUCAUUUGUCUUUCUCAAAAUUUUAUUCUUACUCAGCUUGUAGGCCUUCCUCCAAUGCUAUGAUCUACUAAGGAUGUCUGUAAGAAUUGAAUCAUCCAUUUCUUUUUGGACUGGAAGAAAGAAAUCCCUCGAGUUCCUUCAUCAUUUACUUACGUGAAUUUCUCGAACAAUUGACCUAUUUUAGUUUCUUGUAUUAUCUAGAAAUUCCAAAGUAAUGUGCAAAACUUCGUUUGUGAAAAUAUUUUAGUUCAUCUAUCAUUAUUUCAAUGCAACAUACUUUAAAAAUAUCAGGAGAUGAGUAAAUCUUUAAGAAUAAUUGGAUUCGAAUUGUUAACAGUACAAAGGAAAUAAGUCUGAUAGCAUAUCUUUAAGAAGAAAUAGAAUCUAAGGAUAGCAAACAGGAUAAAAAUCAGAUGCUCUAAAUAUCGCCGCUUGAGCGUCUAUACAUUAGUUCCCCGAAGCCUUUCUUGAGUUCGACAUGUGUUUAAAAGAUCCAAAGUACUUUGUUUAUGCCCUAAUGUACAUUGUGCCUCACUCUCUGUCAAGUCAAAUAUAGCAAGGUUGCUGUGUUCCCUUCAAAAUUUGAGCUGCCCUUUCGGGUUUUCAACUCAAAAUCCCUUUGAUCACAAGGUGCCCUUUGUGGGUUUUCACCUUGGCCUCUCCAUUUUAUUUUAUUUUAUUUUAUUGUUUUUUUUUUCAAAAUUCAAGGCGCCGUUUGCGAGUUUUCACCUUGGAUUCUUUUCUCUUUUAGAAAAAGUACUUUUUGACUGAGUCUGAGUUCACUGGAUUGGGUAGGCUCUUUCUAUCCAUUUUUGUCAAAAUCAACGCACCACCAGAAAAAGCCUUCUUCACGACGUAUGGCCCCUCCCAAUUUGGCAACCAUUUUCCUCUAAAGUCCUUCUGAAUGGGAAGGAUUUUCUUUAGCACAAGGUCCCCCUCAUGGAAUUCCCUUGGACGAAUCUUUUUAUCAUAAGCUCGCAUCAUACGCUUCUGGUACAUCUGACCAUGUCGGAUAGCCUUCAGCCUGUUUUCCUCAAUCAAGUUUAGCUGGUCAUAUCGAGACUGAACCCAUUCAGCUUCAUCUAACCUUAUCUCUAUUAAAAUUCGGAGAGAAGGUAUUUCCACUUCAAUAGGUAAAACUACUUCCAUCCCGUAAACUAACGAGAACGGAGUUGCCCCAGUAGAAGUUCUAACAGAUGUUCGAUAGGCCAAGAGUGCAAACGGUAGCUUUUCAUGCCAAUCCCUAUAAGUCCCAGUCAUCUUUCCCACUAUUUUCUUAAUGUUAGUAUUGGCAGCCUCCACUGCCCCAUUCAUCUUUGGACGAUAGGGUGAAGAGUUGUGAUGCUUGAUUUUGAACUGGUCGCAAACCUCUGCUAUUGUUUUGUUGUUCCAAUUUAAUGCAUUAUCAGAUAUGAUCCUCUCAGGCAUUCCAUACCAACAAAUGAUUUCCUUCUUCAAAAAUCGACUUACAGUUGACUUAGUAACAUUUGCGUAAGAAGCAGCCUCUACCCAUUUUGUAAACUAGUCAAUCACUACGAAAAUAAACCGAUGUCCAUUCGAAGCUUUCGGCGAUAUUGGUCCGAUGACAUCAUGCCCCACAUGGAAAAUCACCAUGGAGACGUCAUGACAUGUAAAGGUGAGGGUGGUACAUGAAUUUUGUCCCCAUAAAUCUGACACUUAUGGCAUUUUUUGGCAUAGUUGAUACAGUCUCCUUCCAUAAUGGCCCAGUAAUAGCCAAACCUCAUGAUUUGUCUUGCCAUCGUGAACCCAUUUGCAUGCGUACCACAUACACUUUCAUGAACCUCUUCUAGAACUAGCUUGGCUUCCAAAGCAUCGACACAUCUCAAAAGUACUUGGUCUUUCCUUGUCUUGUACAGAACAUCCCCGUCCAAAACAUAGUCACAAGCUAACCUUCUCAGGGUUCGUUUGUCAUUUUCGGAUGCCUGUGCUGGAUAUUUACGAUCUCUUACAUAUCGCAAUAUAUCCUGAUAACAAGGAUUGUCAUCCUUUUCUUCCUCUUCAAGGUUACAACAGCUAGCUGAAAAUUCAUAGACACUCAUUUGAAUUGGUCUCAUCUCUUCCUCUUUGUUUGCCUUAAUCAUUGAAGCCAAGGUUGCUAAAGCAUCUGCCAUUUGAUUCUCAUCUCGUGGGAGAUAGUUGAAGGUGAUGUCAUCGAACUCUCUUAGUAACCCCAAAACUACCAUUCGAUAAUUGAUCCAUUUAGGGUCUCUUGUCUCCCAUUCACCUCUUAGCUGAUAGAUUACCAACGCAGAAGCUCCAUAUACUUCUAGGGUCUUUAUGCCUCUUUCUAUGGCUGCUUGGAGCCCCAUGAUGCAUGCUUCGUAUUCAGCCAUAUUAUUUGUACAGUCAAAAUCCAACUUGCAUGUGAAUGGGUAAUGGUCGCCAUUCGGGGAUACCAAGACUGCCCCAAUUCUAUUUCCUACUGCAUUAGAAGCCCCAUCAAAAUUUAGCUUCCAUGGAAAAUCUUCAGUUGCUGCUAUACACAUUAACUUCUCAUUUGGAAAAUCAAAAUUCAAUGGCUCGUAAUCCUCCAAAGCUCUACUGGCCAAGAAGUCUGCCACCGCACUUCCUUUGAUAGCCUUCUGACUUACAUAGACUAUAUCGAACUCUAAAAGCAAAAUUUGUCAUCUCGCCAUUCUUCCAUUUAGAGCCGUUGAUUCCAUCAUGUAUUUUAAUGGAUCUAGUUUUGAGAUGAGCCAAGUAGUAUGGUAUAGCAUGUACUGUCUUAAUCUCCGUGUGGUCCAAAUCAACGCACAUCACAACUUUUCGAUUGGCGAAUAUCUCAUUUCACAGUCAGUGAAUUUCUUACUGAGAUAAUAAAUUACCUUUUCCCUUUUCCUUGACUCGUCAUGCUAACCAAGCACACAUCCCAUAGAAUUGCUGAACACUGACAAGUAUAGUAUUAACGAUUUCUCUGGACUAGGCGGAGAUAACACUGGAGCAUUCAACAAAUACUGCUUGACUUUCUCAAAAGCAUUCUGGCAUUCUUCAUCCCAAGUACCUUGAUUGUGCUUUCUGAGAAGACGAAAGAUAGGAUCACAUUUCAGAGUCAAUUGUGAAAUGAACCGAGCAAUGUAAUUCAACCUUCCUAGGAAUCCUCGAACCUCUUUUUGAGUACGUGGUGGAGGCAACUCCCGUAUGGCUCUGACCUUGUCUGAGUCAACUUCAAUUCCCUUUUCACUGACUACGAAGCCUAAUAACUUCCCCGAUCUGGCUCCAAAGGUGCACUUUGCUGGAUUGAGCUUCAACUGAAAUUUUCUCAACCUUAAGAACAAUCUUCUCAAGACCUCAAUGUGUUCUUUUUCUGUUCGCGACUCAAUGUGUUCUUUUUCUGUUCGCGACUUGGCAAUCAUAUCAUCAACGUAUACCUCAAUAUCCUUAUGCAUCAUGUCGUGAAACAAGUUUACCAUGGCUCGUUGGUAUGUUGCCUCUGCGUUCUUCAACCCAAACGACAUUACUUUAUAACAAAAGGUGCCCCACAAUGUUAUGAAAAUAGUUUUAUCCAUAUCCCCUGGAUGCAUCUUUAUCUAAUUUGUAUCCUGAGAAGCCGUCCAUGAAUGAGAACGAGUAUCCCGCUGUGUUGUCUACUAAAGUGUCGAUGUGUGGAAGAGAAAAAUUAUCAUUUGGGCUUGCUUUGUUUAGAUCUCUGUAAUCAACGCAUAUUCGUACCUUCCCGUCAUUCUUAGGGACAGGUACAAUAUUAGCUACCCAUUCAGAGUACUUCACUUCCUGCAAAAAUCCUGCAUCAAACUGCUUCUUGACCUCAUCUUUUAUUUUCAGGACAAUGUCUGGCCUCAUCCUUCGCAACGUCUGUUGGACCGGUUUACAUUCUUGUCUUAUCGGAAGAUGAUGUACUACAAUAUCGGUACUCAAUCCGGGCAUAUCCUGAUAAGAACAUGCAAAGAUAUCCUUGAAUUCCUGAAGCAACUCAAUUAAGCUACGCCUUGUGUCAUUAGCGAUCAGUGUUCCAAUUUUCACCUCCUUCCCUUCCUCUAGGGCUAUAUUCUCUAUUGCCUAUUUUUUAUGUGGCAUGAUUUGUUUCUCCUCCUAUUUUACCAUUCUUAAUAGAUCGAGAGAUACGUCACAAUCUUCAAAAUCCUGAGGCUCCUCUAAACACAUGUCUUGCUCACAAGAGAAAUCAGGAGCGGCAGUAUUAGCGCACAUAUCAUUGAUUUCUAAAGACUUGUGAGGGGUAUGAAAGAAUAUAAAAAGAAUGAAUGAAUUUAAGAAUGAUCGUUUAUGCGCUAUAAAUAAAAGAAUAAGAGUUGUUAGAAUUUAAAGGAAUAUUGGUUGAUAAAAAUGAAGCAAUACUCUUUUAAAUUGAUAAAAGUUAUGUUUUAUUUGAAUAAUAACAGAUGAACAUAAGCCUAUUUUCACAAAUAUAAUCUUACUACUCCUAGGCCCUAGAGUAAUAAAUAUGUUUCGAGAAUUACUCAGAAAAAUUUCUAAAGACUACAGGAAGAUCCUCCGCAGUCCAAUUGUUUAGAGAGCUCCCCGGUUCGUAAGGGCGAAUAACCUCAAAGUUUUCCUGUCCAAACCAAUCACUAUGUACAACAUUGAUUUGAUGACCCUCUUCUACCAGCAACCCUCCUGACUUAAAGGUUUUGGAUAUAGGUGGGAAUGUCAUCAGUACCCACUCUACUUCUCAUCCGUUCAAACGCGGCUUCCUUCUUGCUUGACGCUUUUCCAUCUCCUGUCUCUUUUGUUUAUGGUCUGGCUUAAAACCCAAACCAAAGCGAUCCUUCUUCUCUAUCAAUUUUGGGACUUGAAUCCCUCUUUGCAACUGGUCUUGCAUAUCCUUUUGCAACUGCUCAAACCUUUGAUCCAUGUUCUUAGUUUUAGUGCGAGUGCCGUAAGGAUGUGUGAUUUCUAGUUUUUCUUUUCUACCUUUAUAAAGAAACUUUAACUAAUUAGGGUCUUUCUAUAACCUUGAAUGCAUAUGAUAAGAUGUAAUGCAAAUGUAUGAAUGCAACAAAGGCAUCAAUCUCGAUUCAAUCUCAUUUAGAAAACUUUAUUUAGAAAAAGAAUAUCUUUACAUAUAAAUGGAUUACAAGUACGCUUUCGCCCUAAUGCCCAAAGUUUUAACUCUAUCUAAUAAAAGGGCUAACUUUCUUCCUAUGUCUGAUGACGACCCACACAUCAUACUCAAUACAUCGGCUCGUACUGCCAAGUCUUGUACAUAUUCAGCAACCUCUCGAAUCUGAGCUAUGGCUUCUCCCAUGACAUGAUCCCUUUCUUUAAUCUGCCCUCUAGACUAAUGAAGCUCUCCCUUUAGAUAAUCUCCUUGCGUCUCGAAUUGCUCAAUCUGAAGUUUACCUUCCUGCAAUGCUGCUUCCAAAUCUUCAACUUUACUCUUUAGCUCUUUUAACUCGACCGUAGAAUCAUGGUUGCGAUGCCAACGAAGGGAUCUUUCAAGCUCAGUUAUUUUAAACUUCAACCCUUUAUUCUCUUCUUCUAAUGCCAAAUUCCGCGGUUGCAUCUCCUGAAACUUCUUCUCCCAAUACUCAGCUCUAGCCUUUUCUUCUUAGACCUCUUUCUGCAACUGAUCUGAAGACCUUCUUAUUUUCGCUCUUCUCAAAGAUACCUGUGCCUUUUUGUAGUGUUCCUUCAAAUCAUCUCUAUCCUCUUCAAUUUUCCUCUUUUCCUUUCUUUCUUUCUCGACCUCCAUCUUCUGGACAUCGAUAUCUAAACUUAAGUACAUCUUUUCUUUUUCGAGCUUUGCUAUCCUUUUCUCAAGCUCCAAAUUUUUCCUCUCAAAUUCUUGCUUCAUAAUUUCUAACUCCGAGGGCAUCACUUGCAGAUAUUCCUCCAUCGGUCGAGUUCCUUCCAUACUUGGCUCAGGAAUAUUAUCAUUGAUCCUUCUACCUCUCCAUUCAACAUAUUUUGAAGUCGUAGCAGGGCCAAUAGCUACUCCUUUCAACCGACACGUCUUGUUCCAAGCGCUAAAGAUCUCACCGACCCUUUUUUUUGUAAUCGGCUCCUCUAUAUGCGAACUCACUUUGAGUUAGCCCAUGAGUUGCUGGCACGAACUGCCUCAAACCGAAUUGCCUUAACACGAGCAAGGGGGCAUAACCAAUGGCACCCCAAAUUCCCAAUAAAGGGACCCAAUCAAAACUGCCGCAACGGUAAAGAAUCUCACCAGGAAUCAUCCACGGAGCUCUCUACUCAACAUCUUUCGACUGAAGAUUUUGAAGUAGUGCAAUCCAAUUCUCCUCUAGAACAUCAACUCUCCUAAUUGAAGCUACUAUGUCCUUCAGCGGUGAGUAAUCCUCGAAGAAAACCCGACAAACGACCUUAUCUAUCAACCGAAAAUGACUAUAGAACCAAGCUAGAAGCAAUUGUGCACAGCCAACAAACCUGCCUGCACCAGCUUUCCAACAUGUGCCUAAGGACCUGAAUGUCUCUGCCAAAAUUGCAGGGACAGAGGUGACCCUCUUACUGAGUUUAUGGAAAAGAUCCGUGGUUGCCUCAUCCACAUAUCCCAAAGCUCUAGGAAACACCAUCAAUCCGUACAAACUUAAGGCAAAAACAUCUACCCUCUUUGCUUCAUCAGGGUGUGUCAAGAUCAGACCCUUCAAAGCAUCCCAUGAAAUGCACUUGCACUCGCCAUUCUCUUUAAUUCUGGCAGUAAUCCAUUGCUCACUCAUCCCUGUAAUAGUCAUCAAUUUCUUCCAAAAGGUAGGGACAUUAACAGCUCGAGAAUAGAUUCUAUCAACCUGGAACCUAAGACAACGUAACAAAGCAGUGUAUUCCUCUACGGUGGGCACCAAGUCUACCUCCCCAAAAGUAAAGCAACUGUACGCUGGAUUCCAAAACUGAGCGAGGGCUCGGAACAAGUGCUCAUCUAUUUGAACAUCGAGCAAGUAAGGUAAAUCUCCGUAAUUACCAUAGAAUAAUUGUUUAGUCUCGUUGCCCUAUUGAUCCCAAAUCUCCUUAAGCUCUUGGAGAUUAUUCUGCGUGACACUCAUGCGAGUAUAUCCUGACAGCUCCGACAUAUAUCCUGCAGCUAUACUAUCUCCCUUUUCUAAUUGAGUUUGCUCAGACCAUCUAUGGACGUUGGCGUUGCCCUCCACUCUAUUAAGAAGUCCGUUCUCCAUAAUAAAACUCUCUAACUUAGAAACUGACCGUGAAUCGAUACCUUUGUAAAUGCAAAAUGUCAUGCAAACAAAAGAAAAGAAAUAGUCAGUAUCCCAUGAUAUCAAUAAAUCUCAACAAUAGUUUAUAAGGGUAAUAUCUAAAGUUUAACUCUAACUAAGUUGGGCUCUUACGGUUUUUUCUAUAUGAGGUUGGUUCUAAAGUUUGAGGUACCUGAACCAGUAGAUUCCUCGAUCCUCAUUUGAAUCGAGUUCAGUUCAGGGGGAUAUAUUUCCCUAUGGCUACACAGAGAUGAAAAUCUCACGAAACCAUAGGUACGGAUGUAUCCCGAAAGUGAUCCACUAUCCUACACGGAGGCGAAAAUCUCACGAAGGCGUAGCUUCUCACUCCCACUUAAGGGUGUGACCACAACAGUCAUGCAAAUGCAAUGGGUAUUAGAAUAUAGCAACACAUGCAAUAAUGCAAACACAUGUAAUGCAAAGAGGAUUAAAUCUUAAAAUUUUUUAAAUUUUCGACAUUAAGACAAGAGAUAAUCAAUUACACGGCUUGACUCUCUUAAACGUCCCCAGUGGAGUCGCCAAGCUGUCGAAACCUUUUUUAAAUCGAGUUUUGGAAAAUGAGAAACGACUUUAAAAACGAAAACGGAAGUCGCCACCAAUCUUUUUAAGUGUGAUUGGAUCACAUAAUAACAAUAUUAGUUUAGGAGUAUGUAAGAGAUAUCAUAAUAUAACAAUAUUAGUUUAAAAUGAAAUAAUAUAUAGUAAAUAAAUAAAUAAUUAAUAAAAAUAUGUAUAUAGUGUGGGUUAAAAAAUAUGAUUUAAUAAUAAUAAUUUACAUUUUUUAAAAUAAUAUAUAUAAUGUAAUUAUAAAUAAUAUAAUUGACGAUACAUGAUAUACAUAACAUAUAUAUAAAAAAAAUAAAUAAAAAAAAUAUUAUAUAAUAAAAUGUAAUAUAAAUAUAUAAGAAAUAUAAUAGAUAUAAUAUAAAAUAACAUGUAAAACAAUAUAUAUAAAUAAUUAAUAAAUAUAUAAUAUAUGUGAAAAUAUAAUAAUAAUUUGAGGAAAAUAAUAUAUAAUAGUAAUAUAUAUAAAAAUAACACUUUUAAUAAUUUUAAUGUAUAAAAGUAAAAUUAAAAUAAAUCAAAUAUUAAUAUAAAAAUAUAUAGAAAUAAAAAAAUUAAGACUAAAUUUAAAGUUUUGUAAAAUUACGGGGCAAAUUUAAAAAGCUAAAACUGAAUUAAGGCCCGAUUUGAAACACCCGCAAAAUCAGAAGGGGUCACUGGGCAAAUAGCCCUAUUCCCAAAACGUCACCAUUUCCCCUAAUACGAUUCUAAAUCAUUGGGAGGGUCGAAUUGAAAUAGAAUUAAAAUAUUAAUACCAAAUUAAAAAAUAAAUAAAAUGAAAUUAAAAGUAUAAAAAUUGCGAGAUGACCAAAAUUAACCCAAUUCUCAAAAAUGCGCGGAUCCUCCCCGGGUAAUUGGAUCAACGCGCGGAUCCUAUAGUUGUAAAACGACACCGUUUUAAAUAGACUAUAUAAGUCAAACUUCGCCCCUAAAAAUCAUUUUAACAUCCGUUUUUAAGAAGAAAAAAAGAAAAAUCCUCUAGAAGAGGAUUCGGGGGCCGAUCCCGGAGCUGCUGAGCCUCCGUCCAGGGGUCUCCUCACGCGCUCACGCGCCGUCCUGUAAGGUGGUCUGAGGGUUAAAAUCCUCGUCCUUUCACAGGUAAUCUCUUCCCCUUUUUAAAAGUUACUAUUUUUUUUUUGCUAAAAAUGAUGUACAUACAUGCAUAUGUUCUAAAAUAAAAAAAACACACAGUUAAAUCACCUUUUCUUUGAAACUGCUUGUAUUCUUUUUUUAUUUCUGUAUCCGUAAUCGUUACAAGGGUUACAAAGGCUUUUUAUAGCCUACUGAUUUGUUACAUAAGGAAAGAAAUCUCUGAUUUCUUAUCUAUUGUAUCUUUGGCCAUUAUCUGCUAAGUUUCCUUUUCGUUUUGCAGGUACCCCGACAAUCUCUGCGUUAAUGGUGGUACCAAAACCAGAAGGGAGACCUGAGAUCACGGUGCUGGACAGCCGCAAGGGGGACGAACACAUUGAUGGUGCGUCAAUGCAUUGAUGGCCAUGAUCUGCGCAGUUGAAUCAACGCUCCCCGAAGUUUCCAGAAGCUGUUGCGGCGCUGUAGGGAGAGAGAGCUAGGAUUAGAAACCCUAGCUGAUGGUGUUAGGUUCUGGGCCUCUGAGAGCUCGGGUCAAUUGGGUCUAGUUUAGGUCUAGGUCUGUAACGAGUAUUGGAUUGUAACCGGGUUUAGGUUUAUUUAAUUUUUGGGCCUACGGGUUAGUGGGCCAUGGUAUUUGGGUCCUAUAAAGGUUUAAAUGGACUGUUUAAAUAAACACUCUAUUUAUUUUAAAGCCCGGUCAAAUUUGGGCUGUUACACCUCUGAAAUCCUUUUGUAUGGGAAAAAUCUUUUUCAAAACCAAAUCUCCCUCAUAAAACUCUUUUGGGUGAACCUUUCUGUCAUAAGCCCGCAUCAUUCUUUUUUGAUACAUCUAUCCAUGCUGAAUAGUCUUUAGCCUCUUUUUCUCAAUCAAAUUCAACUGAUCAUAUCGAGACUGUAUCCAUUCUGCUUCAUCUAACUUCAAUUCUCACAAAACUUGAAGAGAAGGUAUUUCCACUUCAAUGAGUGGGACUGCUUACAUUCCAUAAACCAAUGAGAAAGGUGUUGCACCAGUAGAAGUUCUAACAGAUGUUCGAUAAGCAUAGAGGGCAAAUGAAAACUUCUCAUGCCAAUCUCUGUAAGUUUCGGUCAUUUUCCCCACAAUCUUCUUGAUAUUUUUAUUAGCUGCCUCCACUGCCCCAUUCAUCUUUGGCCGAUAUGGUGAUGAAUUAUGAUAUCUGAUCUUAAGCUGACUGCAAACCUCUGCUAUUGUGCUAUUGUUCAAAUUUAACGCAUUAUCAGAUAUGAUCCUCUUAGGCAUUCCAUAUCGACAUAUAAUUUCCUUCUUUAAGAAUCUACUGACUGCCGAUUUAGUUACAUUGGCGUAUGAAGUAGCCUCCGCCCACUUGGUAAAAUAAUCAAUAACCACAAAAAUGAAAUAAUGCCCAUUUGAAGCCUUCGGUGAAAUUGGCUCUAUGACAUCCAUGCCCCACAUGAAAAAUAGCUAUGGGGAAGUCAUAACAUGCAAACUUAUCACCAUAAAUUUGACAUUUGUGACAUUUCUUGGCAUAAUUGAUGCAGUCUCCUUCCAUGGUUGACCAAUAAUAUCCAAACCUCAUAAUUUGUCUGGCUAUUGUCAACCCAUUGGCGUGUGUUCCACAAACACCCUUGUGCAGUUCUUCCAAGAUUUUCUUAGACUCCACAGCAUCCACACAUCUCAAAAGUACCCAAUCUUUCCUUCUUUUGUAUAAGAUCUCUCCAUCUAAAACAUAAUCGCAAGCGAGCCUUCUUAAUGUUCUUUUGUCAUUCUCUGUGGAUUGAUCUGGAUAUUCACGAUUUCUCACAUAUCACAAUAUAUCCUAAUACUAAGGAUGAUCAUCUCUUUCUUCUUCCUCUAUAUUAUAACAAUAAGAUGGGGCCUCAUAAAUACUCAUCCGAAUGGGCUUCACAUCUUCUUGUCUGCUUACUUUGAUCAUGGAAGCCAAAGUAGCUAAAGCAUCUGCCAUCUGGUUUUCAUCACGUGGGAGAUAAUUGAAAGUAAUAUCAUCAAACUCUUCAACUAACCCCAACAACAGCCUUUUAUAAUUGAUUAGUUUAGCAUCUCUUGUUUCCCAUUCGCCUCGAAAUUGGUAAAUUACUAGCUCAGAAUCUCCAUAUACUUCCAAUGCCUUGAUCUUGCGCUCUAUAGCUGCCUUGAGUCCCAUGAUACAUGCUUCAUAUUCUGCCAUAUUAUUCGUACAAUCAAAAAUCCAAUUUACAUGUGAAUGGAUAAUGAUCUCCAUCUGGGGAUACCAGAACUGCCUCAACUCCAUUACCCACAGCAUUUGAGGCUCCAUCAAAAUUCAAUUUCCAAAAGUAACCUUUUAUAGUGUCCUCUUCAGUAGCUGCCACAUACACUAUCUCCUUAUUGGGGAAGUCAAAAUUCAAUGGCUCAUAAUCUUCUAGAGCUCGGCUAGCCAGAAAAUCUGUUAUUGCGCUCCCCUUUACAGCUUUUUGACUCAUGUAAAUUAUGUCAAAUUCAGAAAGCAAAAUUUGCCACCUAAUCAUCCUUCCAUUCAAGGCAUUUGACUCCAUCAUAUACAUUAAAAGAUCCAACUUUGAAAUUAGCCAGGUUGUAUGAUAUAACAUAUAUUGCCUCAAUCUUCGUGCUGUCCAAACCAAAGCGCAACACAAUUUUUCAAUUGGCAAAUAUCUCAACUCAUACUCAGUGAAUUUCUUACUGAGGUAAUAUAUUGCCUUUUCUUUUCUUCCUAAUUCGUCAUGUUGACCAAGCACAUAUCCCAUUAAAUUACCAAACACAGUUAAACAGUUAAAAAUAGUUUAUUUUGUGUUUUUUUGUUUUUUUGGUUUUUGGUAUAAGCCUGGACAAAAAUUGGGCCUUACAAACUCUUUAACACAUUCGAACAACUUAAAAUAUAUCAUUCGAAUAUCAUAAAUCACAACUUUCAGAGACCAUAAAUUGUAGCAUUUAACACCUAAAUUUUCAGCAUUUAACACAUAAAAUGGUUUUCUCCUUA